AUUAUUAGUAUAUGUUUUGCACUGCUCAAAAGCCCAUAAGAUAAGUAAGUCAUUUCUAUGGUAAGUCCAUUACUACUACACCUUGGUGCCACGGGCGGAGCCACUCAAGGACUGGGCAGGACAAUGGCCCGUCCCAAAUUUCAAAAAAUUUAUUUUAUAUAUAUGGGUAUAUAUAUAGUUAAACCUAUAUUAUAUAUUACUAGUUGGAUUUUGAUAAUAAUAGUAUUAUGUGUUGUAGUGGUUAUGAAGCUCGCCUGUUAUGUUACGUUGGUUUGAUUCCUGCGCCCAACAUUUCUAUUUUUUAACUAUUUUUUUAAAAAAAUUCUAUCACAGUUCUAUUAUUAUCAACUCUGUUUUUAACCUUGUAAAAAAAAAACCUCUAUUUUUAACAAAGGACAUGUGAUUUUAACAAAAUUUUAUAGAAUUGAAGGAGUUAUGGUUUGAAUUAUGGAUAGAAGGAAUUUGGGUUUGUGAAGUUCAUUUGGGAAUUAAGGAUUCAUUUUGGAUAAUAUAACUUUAAUUUUAAUAGUAAAUAUAGUAUAAAAAAAAAGUCAAAAAAAUUAAGUAAUUUUUUUUUAUCAAAAACACGGCCCUUCCCAAAAAAUUAUCCUAGCAUUGCCACUUCUUGGUGCACUCCAAAGGAGAUAUUUGUGACUCAUUCCAUUUACAUAUGGGAGCUCACAAAACGGUUAUACAUGUAUCUCUCCUAUAUACGGCAUAUGUAUUCACCUCAAGGUACACACAUUUCACCCAAUUCAUACACUAUUUUCUUGAGUUGUCACUAAUUACUUGAAUGUUGGAAUGCUAAUAUUUUUGCAGAUAUCUUUUUCCAUGAUACUUGAAGCUCAAAUCACCAUCAUCAGUACAACCAGACACCAUUAGAUUCAUUAAAGAAACAUUCUAUUAUGAACGUACCAUGAUAUUUUUUGUUUUCAAAGAUAAUACGUGUAAUAAAUGCCAAUUUUCAGAACAUUAACUUUAACUUCUUGAUUAAAUUUUUUUAAAAUAAAGUGCAAUAUGCUCAUUUAUAAUAAUGCUCGUUUACUUGAAGAAUGAAGACAAAUAAUAAUGAUACGUAAACAGUACUAUGUUCCUAAAGUGGAGAUGACCUAUGUAAGUUCCGAACAGAAACAUUUGGAAGUAGAGAUGAACCAAACCAAAUUUGGCAAUGCCAAUAAAUAUGGACCUUUACAAAGGACUUUCUCUCUGAUUGAAGUAAUUCUUUCUCUCCUUUCUCUGCCGCCGGCAGAAAUUUUUUUUUACUCAUUUCUUUGAUUUUCUCUUGGUUUAUAGAUUAGGGAGUGUGUUUUAGGAUCAAUUUUAAUCUCAAAUUACCCCUCUUAAUUGUUUUUUGUUUCUUUUUAUUUAAAGGGUCUUGCUAAAUAGUGCUCCCGGGGCACUCUUUAAGCAUUCUAUUUAAAAAAAUAAUUUACUCAAAAUGUGGAAUAUUUCAAUUUUCGAGGCGUUGACUUCACACAUUUCCAUAAAAUUUUAACAAAAACUUACUAUUUAAGAUGCUUAAAGAGUGCCCGGGGGCACUGUUUAGCAUUUUCCUUAUUUAAAUAAGUGAUAUUUACAUACUUUUUAGGUUUUAUUUGAGUUUUUCUCUCUUGUGAUUUUUCACUUGGUGUUGUUUUUAUCCCGUCUUAGUGCGGAGUUUUUGUUUUGUUUAUCCUGUCUUAGUACGGUAUUUGUCCCGUCUUGGUACGAUGUUUGUUUUUUUGUUCAGAUUUGCAAGUUUGUUUCGAUCCAAAUUCAGUGCAGAUUCAAUGACAUUAGCAUCAUCAACGUUGCAGAUCCGGAUACAUGAUCAUUCCGGACAAAAUUAUUUGAUAUGUUAUUGAAAUACAUCAAAGUUAACGGUUUGCGUCUUUUUUUAUAUGACGUUAAUCUUUCUUUAUCGCAAUAGCAUAUCGAAUGAUUUUGGAUUUUGCCUGAUAUUUUACACAAAUGAUCUAUAUGAUAUAAAUUUUCAAUCCAACUGUGAAUUUUAUAAAAUUUAUAUCGAUUAAAACAUU
rnacentral:lncRNA from 1 species